GCCUGGCUGGCUCAGUUGGUAGAGCAUGCAACUCUUGAUCUCAGGGUUGUGAGUUCGAGCCCCACGCUGGGUG
rnacentral:tRNA from 1 species